rnacentral:rRNA from 1 species
CAGUAAGGAAUAUUGGACAAUGGGCGAGAGCCUGAUCCAGCCAUGCCGCGUGCAGGAAGAAGGCCCUAUGGGUCGUAAACUGCUUUUGAACGAGAGAAAACCCGAGUACGUGUACUCGGCUGAUAGUAUCGUUAGAAUAAGCAUCGGCUAACUUCGUGCCAGCAGCCGCGGUAAGACGAAGGAUGCAAGCGUUAUCCGGAUUCAUUGGGUUUAAAGGGAGCGUAGGCGGACUUGUAAGUCAGUGGUGAAAUCUGUGGGCUUAACCCACAACCUGCCACUGAUACUGCAGGUCUAGAGUACAGUUGCCGUUGGCGGAAUAUGACAUGUAGUGGUGAAAUACUUAGAUAUGUCAUAGAACACCGAUUGCGAAGGCAGCUAACGAAGCUGUAACUGACGCUGAGGCUCGAAAGUGCGGGGAUCAAACAGGAUUAGAUACCCUGGUAGUCCGCACUGUAAACGAUGAUUACUCGUUGCUGGGGAGCAAUUUCCAGUGACCAAGCGAAAGUGAUAAGUAAUCCACCUGGGGAGUACGCCGGCAACGUG